GAUGAUUAUCGCAAAAGGUUAUUCUGUAACUAAGAGAUAUCGACAACUCUCGAUAACUUGAAUCGUUAAAUUCCGAUAGUUAUCGAAGCCGCGUCGAUACGUUUGCGAUCGUUACCGGAGAUCUCGCUAAGCUAUUAACGACAGUCGGUGUGAGUCGAUAGUGCGUUAGUGUAUGUAUGAAAUGUAUACGUAUGCGUGUAAUACGUGUUCCCGCAACCAUAAUUUGGAGGUUAAGUUGGUGUCUGAUUGUGAAUAUAUCGAGUGGGCUACUCAUUGUCAGUUUUUGACAUCUUUUAAUUCGGUGAUUUUAAUUCUCUUAAGAAUUGGAAAUCCAUAGGGCAGCGUAAGAAGUUGAAAUUCUAUUAGGAAUUUUAAUUUAUUUAGAACGACCAAAAGAUGGCGCUUGGCUAUCUUGCUGCAGACUUAUACUAGUAAUUAUACUAGAAGAACGUGUCCAACGCUUAGAACAAAGGGCACAACAAUAACUAUUACAAACAACGGAAAAUCCGUUCAAUUUGACGAACAACGAAUUUAAGAAGCUGUACCGCCUAACACCAGAUUUAAUUUUUUAUUUAAUGGAUGCGUUAGAACCUUGACUUCAGAGAAUAAGGAUUACCGGGUUAUCUGCAGAAGAGCAAAUAUUAUCAGUAGUACGAUUUUAUGCGACUGGUUGUUUUCAACGUCCUGUGGGUGAGCAGUUGGGCAUUUUUAUGAGUCAAACAUCGAUCAACAGAUGUAUCCACAAAGUGACAGAUGCAAUCAACGAUUUGAUUUUUAGACAGUAGGUACAAUUUCUUAUAACUCCAGCAAGCAGGCAAUCAGCAAGAAUACAAUUUCAAAUGCACGUCAGCCAUUUGAAGGGGCUAUCGGAGCAAUUGUACUCACAUUGCAAUUCUUGCUCCGAAAGAGUAUGGAAAAGCCUACAUUAAUCAUCACGGAUAUCAUUCACUGAAUGUACAAAUGAUAUGUUAUCCGAAUUUAAAAAUAUUAAAUGUGAAUGCAAGAUAUUCCGGAGCACGACACGAUGUAUACAUAUGGAGUGCUUCUGCUGCACGCUGUUAUAGAACGCGCAUAUAAUCGCGGUGAACGACGAGCAUAUCUCAUUGAUGAUUCAGGUUAUUUUUUGAAUGGCUGUUAACUCCUUUGCCUCGAGAACCAGAAGAAACUCCACGUUUCAUGUAUAACGAAGCGUUGUGUAGCGCGAGAAAUUGUGUCGAACGGGUGUCGAACUUCAGUACACGCUUUUUGGUGUAUUGAAGUCUACCUGGAGAUGUUUUUCUUGACACAGGGUUUUGCAGUAUGAGCCUGGUUUCGCAGGAAGGAUUGUCAACGCUUGUGCAGUUUUCCAUAAUAUGCGGACUGCUCAUGGAAUAUUUGACUUGUCAUGAAUAGUCGAUAAAUUUGAUCGUGAUGAUCAUAUGUAUGAAAAUUGUAAUGAUGGUGACAUUAAUCCAGAUAACAGUUGUGGACCUCUUGCUAUUGCACGACGCAUACAAGACCAUUUAAUAGCAGAAAGAUUUGGCAGAUAAGAUUAUACAAAGCGUAACGUAAAUUUAAAAUUAAUCAGAAAAUAAAAAUAUUGGAUAAAACAAUUUAAU